UGGGGAAUAUUGCACAAUGGGGGAAACCCUGAUGCAGCGACGCCGCGUGAACGAAGAAGGUAUUCGUAUCGUAAAGUUCUGUCCUAUGGGAAGAUAAUGACAGUACCAUAGAAGAAAGCUCCGGCUAAAUACGUGCCAGCAGCCGCGGUAAUACGUAUGGAGCGAGCGUUGUCCGGAAUUAUUGGGCGUAAAGGGUACGCAGGCGGUUUAAUAAGUCGAAUGUUAAAGAUCGGGGCUCAACCCCGUAAAGCAUUGGAAACUGAUAAACUUGAGUAGUGGAGAGGAAAGUGGAAUUCCGAGUGUAGAGGUGAAAUUCGUAGAUAUUCGGAGGAACACCAGUGGCGAAGGCGACUUUCUGGUCUGUAACUGACGCUGAUGUGCGAAAGCGUGGGGAUCAAACAGG
rnacentral:rRNA from 1 species